ensembl:lncRNA
GUUAGUGUUAGGGUUAGAGUUAGGGUUAGGGUUAGGGUUAGAGAUGGGGUUAGUGUUAGGGUUAGAGAUGGGGUUAGUGUUAGGGUUAGAGAUGGGGUUAGUGUUAGUGUUAGAGAUGGGGUUAGUGUUAGGGUUAGAGAUGGGUUUAGAGUUAGGGUUAGAGAUGGGGUUAAUGUUAGGGUUAGAGAAGGGGUUAGAGAUGGUGUUAGAGUUGGGGUUAGUGUUAGGGUUAGAGAUGGGUUAGUGUUAGGGUUAGAGAUGGGG